CCUACGGGCGACAGCAGUCGAGAAUCAUUCACAAUGGGGGAAACCCUGAUGGUGCGACGCCGCGUGGGGGAAUGAAGGUCUUCGGAUUGUAAACCCCUGUCAUGUGGGCGCAAAUUAAAAAGAUAGUACCACAAGAGGAAGAGACGGCUAACUCUGUGCCAGCAGCCGCGGUAAUACAGAGGUCUCAAGCGUUGUUCGGAAUCACUGGGCGUAAGGCGUGCGUAGGCUGUUUCGUAAGUCGUGUGUGAAAGGCGCGGGCUCAACCCGCGGACGGCACAUGAUACUGCGAGACUAGAGUAAUGGAGGGGGAACCGGAAUGCUCGGUGUAGCAGUGAAAUGCGUAGAUAUCGAGAGGAACACUCGUGGCGAAGGCGGGUUCCUGGACAUUAACUGACGCUGAGGCACGAAGGCCAGGGGAGCGAAAGGGAUUAGAUACCCUGGUAGUC
rnacentral:rRNA from 1 species